CAGGUACAGCGGGAAGCCAUAUGGCGACAUAGAGCGGAACCCGAAAACCUGCCUCAGUUCGGAUUGGAGUCUGCAACCCGACUCCAUGAAGCUGGAUUCGCUAGUAAUCGCGCAUCAGCCACGGCGCGGUGAAUACGUUCCCGGGCCUUGUACACACCGCCCGUCAAGCCAUGGGAGCCGGGGGUACCUGAAGUGCGUGACCGCAAGGAGCGCCCUAAGGUAAAACCGGUGACUGGGGCUAAGUCGUAACAAGGUAUC
rnacentral:rRNA from 1 species